rnacentral:rRNA from 1 species
AGCGAACGCUGGCGGCAGGCCUAACACAUGCAAGUCGAACGAACCUUUCGGGGUUAGUGGCGGACGGGUGAGUAACACGUGGGAACGUGCCUUUAGGUUCGGAAUAACUCGGGGAAACUUGUGCUAAUACCGAAUGUGCCCUUCGGGGGAAAGAUUAAUCGCCUUUAGAGCGGCCCGCGUCUGAUUAGCUAGUUGGUUGAGGUAAUGGCUCACCAAGGCGACGAUCAGUAGCUGGUCUGAGAGGAUGAUCAGCCACAUUGGGACUGAGACACGGCCCAAACUCCUACGGGAGGCAGCAGUGGGGAAUCUUGCGCAAUGAGCGAAAGCCUGACGCAGCCAUGCCGCGUGAAUGAUGAAGGUCUUAGGAUUGUAAAAUUCUUUCACCGGGGACGAUAAUGACGGUACCCGGAGAAGAAGCCCCGGCUAACUUCGUG